rnacentral:rRNA from 1 species
UACGUAGGGUCCGAGCGUUGUCCGGAAUUAUUGGGCGUAAAGGGCUCGUAGGCGGUUUGUCGCGUCUGCUGUGAAAACCGGAGGCUCAACCUCCGGCCUGCAGUGGGUACGGGCAAACUAGAGUGCGGUAGGGGAGAUUGGAAUUCCUGGUGUAGCGGUGGAAUGCGCAGAUAUCAGGAGGAACACCGAUGGCGAAGGCAGAUCUCUGGGCCGUAACUGACGCUGAGGAGCGAAAGCGUGGGGAGCGAACAGG